AAUCGCUGGCCGUCGGUGGAUUGCCAAUGGUUAAAACACGUUCAACGGUCUUCGGAAAGUCAUCCGAGAGGUUAACCGAUGCAUCCUGGUCUUGACAAGGAGCAGUUUUGGAUAACACUUUCUCGUUCAUAUUCCUUGUAGUGUUUACAUCAGAUAAAUUACCAGAAUCCUGAACAGCCUUCGAAGUAGAAGCAGAAGCUAUGUCAUCAGUUACAAUGGAAGAACUAGAAUAAU
rnacentral:misc_RNA from 1 species